rnacentral:lncRNA from 1 species
UUGGACAAUAAACAUUAACUUCAACUCAUGUCAGUUUUUAUUGUCUAAUCAAAUCCCAGUAUAUAUUGAAACUCCACCUACCUAUUGUUUACAAACAUGCAAGCAAACAGAGCAAGUAAGUCGCUCAAACUUUUGUUUUGCAUGCUUUAAUAGAAUAGCUGUAAUCUCAAUAUUCAUAUUUCAUAUUUCAUUCAAUGCACG